CAGCAGCCACGGUAAUACGUAGGUGGCAAGCGUUGUCCGGAAUUAUUGGGCGUAAAGGGCUCGCAGGCGGUUUCUUAAGUCUGACGUGAAAGCCCCCGGCUCAACCGGGGAGGGUCAUUGGAAACUGGGAAACUUGAGUGCAGAAGAGGAGAGUGGAAUUCCACGUGUAGCGGUGAAAUGCGUAGAGAUGUGGAGGAACACCAGUGGCGAAGGCGACUCUCUGGUCUGUAACUGACGCUGAGGAGCGAAAGCGUGGGGAGCGAACAGGAUUAGAUACCCCCGUAGUCCCUGUCUCUUAUAC
rnacentral:rRNA from 1 species